rnacentral:rRNA from 1 species
GGGUGAGUAACGCGUAGGUAACCUACCUCAUAGCGGGGGAUAACUAUUGGAAACGAUAGCUAAUACCGCAUAAGAUAGACUAACGCAUGUUAGUAAUUUAAAAGGGGCAAUUGCUCCACUAUGAGAUGGACCUGCGUUGUAUUAGCUAGUUGGUGAGGUAAAGGCCCACCAAGGCGACGAUACAUAGCCGACCUGAGAGGGUGAUCGGCCACACUGGGACUGAGACACGGCCCAG